GGGGUCUUGGAAACUCCCUGUGACUGCCAACCUGUUCAAGAUGGACCCCGCGUCCCUGCCUCUCGCCAUUAACCACUGGAGACACUGCAGGACGAAACACCUGCACGGAAAAGCAGUAAACCCGCAAGAGGAGGGAUUUGACAGAUCUGAAAAUCG